rnacentral:rRNA from 1 species
GAUUAACGCUGGCGGCGUGCAUGAAACAUGCAAGUCGAGCGCGGCACCUUCGGGUGUCUAGCGGCGCACGGGUGAGUAACACGUGAGCAACCUACCUCCGAGUUCGGGAUAGCCCUGAGAAAUCAGGAUUAAUACCGGAUGGUGUCAUCUCGAGGCAUCUCAAGAUGAACAAAGGCGCAAGCCGCUCGAUGACGGGCUCGCGGCCUAUUAGCNGUUGGUGGGGUCACGGCCUACCAAGGCGAAGAUGGGUAGCU